UGUUUGUCAGACAGGCAGACACACGUGCAC
rnacentral:piRNA from 1 species